AACGCACCUUGCGCUCCUUGGUAUUCCGAGGAGCAUGCCUGUUUGAGUGUCAUUAAUAUUAUAUAUCGAACCCUCUCUUUUGUUGAGUGGUUUGGAUGUGGGGUUUGCUGGCCUCUUGAAGAGGUCAGCUUCCCUGAAAUGCAUUAGCAGAACAACCUGUUCGUUCAUUGGUGUGAUAACUAUCUACGCUAUUGAACGGUGAAGGCAAGUUCAGCUUCCUAACCGUCUUUGGACAAUUUAUCAUCUAUAUGUGACCUCAAAUCAGGUAGGACUACCCGCUGAACUUAA
rnacentral:misc_RNA from 1 species